GCUGAUACAUGUGAUAUGACAUGUAUGAUGCAUGACCUGCAUGACCUGUGGCGUUUGAGUAACAUCGACCGCUAAGCCGCGAUCGAUUGAAUCUUGAUCAUCCGAGACUAGCACCGUCGAUUGAUCAUCAAAUCAAAACUCACACAUCUCCAAAAAAUGAGGACGGGCCUAAAUUUCUUUAUCGGCUUCGCUUUUCCCUCCCAAGAAACAGUUGAGCGUAGAGAGAAUUUUAUUUCUAAGUUAUAAGUUGUCCAAUUUCCGGACAGAAAUGACUUGAACAGUCGCAUCCAACACGGUCCGCGCCGCACACUGGUAGUACGCCUCUGAAAGGGACCAAUCAUGGCACUUCGUAUCGCCGUCGUGGAGUUCAUGCCCAUGAAGAGUUGCUUCAUCAGUCUGCCGGUGACCUGGGGUCAAGAGUUCCAGCGAAAACAGAAUUACAUCUUCGAGCUUCAGUGGGGGGAUCGAGGCAGGGCGUAUGUCUCGUGGGCCGGAGAUACCCUCAGGUUGCCCGAGGGAAGUACAGUCGGGAAUCCCACAAUUCAAAU